CACGUUUUCCUCUUUUCCUUCCCCUCCCAUCCACUUCUCAGAUCUCUGAAUCCCCAAUAUACUUGACCAUCACCACUGCCGUUUCCUCUUCUUCGGUCUCGCAUUCCCAAUGCCUCCCCACAUGGCGAUAGUCUUCUAUUCUCUUCUCCAGGUCUCGCAUCCCCAAUGCCUUCCCACAUCCCUUUGUCCCUUCUUUUCACCUCAACAAUUGCAGCCACUGCCGUUGAGAUUACGGAGACAACAUGGCCUACGCCAAAAAGAAAGUUUUGAUGAAAGCAACAAUGCACCAAUUAGAAUGCAGCAAGGAGUCUCCCAAUGACGAGGAUUGAAUACAGCAAGAAUGCAACAUUACAGCCUUCUAUAAGUUGUUGAAGCUCUGAAGGAGAAGUAAAGAACAAGUAAAGAACAAGUACAAGAAAAGAAGAAGCUUUGUAAGCCAUUAGAGAUAAGAUUUUGAUUUUGAUUUUUUUUUUUUUUUGCGUGUUGAAGCUCUAAAGGAGUGGCUGCAUUUUAUAGUUCAGACUUUGGUGUAACUAUGGCGGUGAGUUAAAUGUUUCUCGUGGAAUGCAAUGGCAGUUGCCAA